UGAAUACGAGAUGCUACGGCGUCGAAGCAGUGUAUGUCAAACUUCCAAGAAAAGCUCGCAAUGUCAUAAAUAAAGAAUGCCUGUACCAUAACCGACACAGGUGGGUAGGUAGAGUAUACUAAGGGGCGCGAGAUAACUCUCUCUAAGGAACUCGGCAAAAUAACUCCGUAACUUCGGGAGAAGGAGUGCCUUCUUUAAGAAGGUUGCAAUAACAAGAUCCAAGCAACUGUUUAUCAAAAACACAGGUCUCCGCUAAGUCGUAAGACGAUGUAUGGGGGCUGACGCCUGCCCAGUGCCAGAAGGUUAAAGAAGUUGGUUAGCCUUUGCGAAGCUGAUGACUGAAGCCCUGGUGAACGGCGGCCGUAACUAUAACGGUCCUAAGGUAGCGAAAUUCCUUGUCGGGUAAGUUCCGACCCGCACGAAAGGCGUAAUGAUUUGGAUACUGUCUCGGAGAGGGACUCGGUGAAAUAGACUUGUCUGUGAAGAUGCGGACUACCUGCACCAGGACAGAAAGACCCUAUGAAGCUUUACUGUAACUUGAAAUUGAAAUUGGACUUUAUUUGCGCAGUAUAGGUGGAAGGCGUUGAAAGUAAUCUUGCGGGAUUAGUGGAGCCAUCAGUGAGAUACCACUCCUAUAAUGUUAGAUUUCUAACUUUGGAUCAUGAUCUGGUCAAAGAACAGUUUCAGGCGGGCAGUUUGACUGGGGCGGUCGCCUCCCAAAUGGUAACGGAGGCGUACAAAGGUUUCCUCUGAACGGGUAGAAAUCGUAUCUAGAGUGUAAAGGCAUAAGGAAGCUUGACUGUGAGACCUACAAGUCGAGCAGGGACGAAAGUCGGUCUUAGUGAUCUGACGGUGCUGAGUGGAAAGGCCGUCACUCAACGGAUAAAAGUUACUCUAAGGAUAACAGGCUGAUCUCCCCCAAGAGUUCACAUCGACGGGGAGGUUUGGCACCUCGAUGUCGGCUCAUCGCAUCCUGGGGCGGUAGUACGUCCCAAGGGUUGGGCUGUUCGCCCAUGAAAGCGGUACGCGAGCUGGGUUCAGAACGUCGUGAGACAGUUCGGUCCAUAUCCGGUGUAGGCGUUAGAAUAUUGAGAGGAGCCUUCUUUAGUACGAGAGGACCGAGAAGGACAUACCUCUGGUGUACCAGUUAUCGUGCCAACGGUAAACGCUGGGUAGCUAUGUAUGGAGAGGAUAACCGCUGAAAGCAUCUAAGUGGGAAGCCCACCUCAAGAUGAGUAUUCUC
rnacentral:rRNA from 1 species